GUGUCAGCCGCCGCGGUAAUACGGAGGGUGCAAGCGUUAUCCGGAUUCAUUGGGUUUAAAGGGUGCGCAGGCGGAUACUUAAGUCAGUGGUGAAAUCCCGGGGCUCAACCCCGGAACUGCCAUUGAUACUGAAUAUCUGGAAUACGGUUGAAGUGGGCGGAAUGUAGCAUGUAGCGGUGAAAUGCAUAGAGAUGCUACAGAACACCGAUCGCGAAGGCAGCUCACUAAGCCGAUAUUGACGCUCAGGCACGAAAGCGUGGGGAGCGAACAGGAUUAGAUACCCUGGUAGUCCACGCCGUAAACGAUGAUAACUCGUUGUUGGCGACACACAGUCAGCGACUAAGCGAAAGCGAUAAGUUAUCCACCUGGGGAGUACGAUCGCAAGGUUGAAACUCAAAGGAAUAGACGG
rnacentral:rRNA from 1 species